rnacentral:tRNA from 1 species
AUUCAUAUAGAUUAAUAAUAUUAGAUCGUGACACUGAAGAUGUUAAGGAGACUAUUUAAGUCUGUGAAUAU